rnacentral:rRNA from 1 species
GACGGAAGGUGCAAGCGUUGCUCGGAAUCACUGGGCGUAAAGGGUGCGUAGGCGGUCGUGCAAGUCUGGCGUGAAAGCCCCGGGCUCAGCCCGGGAAGUGCGCUCGAAACUGCGCGGCUCGAGUGCCGGAGGGGAGAGUGGAAUUCCUGGUGUAGCGGUGAAAUGCGCAGAUAUCAGGAGGAACACCGGUGGCGAAGGCGGUUCUCUGGGCAUGUCCUGACGCUGAGGAGCGAAAGUGUGGGGAGCGAACAGG